rnacentral:lncRNA from 1 species
CGCCCAUGCAUAGUGAUAUUAGCAAAGAAUAUGAGAAACAUAACAAUCACUCUUCUGUAAUAAUAUUGCUCUGCCAGCCCAAUACACGAGAGGGGGACUAUAUAAGAAUCAAUGAAGGUGUCACUAUCACGAACUACCCCACGAUCUGGCAUAUUGGGUACAAUCGCAGAUAAAUACGGUAUAAGCACCACGCCUACACAAUAUCUAUCAUUUACCCAUGGAUCCGAUGGAUAAACGCUAUACGAUCCUAAGCAUGUAUAUAGAUCCAAUCUAACUAAGUAUAUAACUAUGAUAAACUAAGAACAAUAUAAUCUUGAAUAUAAACAAGUAGAGCAAAGUCAUAAGCAAUAUAUUGAAGUAGAACAAAGUCAUAUUCAUAAUAUUGAAGAACAAAGAUAAUUAUAAGAACAAUUAGAAGCACAAUUAGAGAAUUACCAAGAAUCCUCUUGACAGAUCCGGAAACCAAUCGAAGAUUGACUCCUUCUAGUUCUAAUCCUAUGUAGCUAUGCUAAUCUAGAUGUCUAAUUGAUGUGGUGGCUCUAAUCUUGAUUAGAGGCUUCUUCUCCCUUGAGGAACAAUGAAUUAGGGUUGAGAGGCUCUCUCCUCCAGGGGCCAGGGGGUCUGGUUUUAUAGUCCCUUCAAGUGAAUAUGGGCCGUUAGAUCAAACCGACAUUGAUUGAACGGUUAUCCUUGAUCCUUUAGGUCGGUGGAGAUCUUCCCCGAAACAGAGUCCUGAUUGGGCUCGGCAGGAGGGCGGGCGCCUAGUGCCUGGCCCCAUUCGGCCUCCGCUUCCUUCCCGUGCCUUCUGUAGUCUUCUAGAUGUAAGAUAAUUGUGCGGCACGUUAAUAUCUCUAUGUAAUCCCGACGUGUGGGCCUUUCUUUUGUAUUUCCUGAUAACCCACUGCAGAAAUAGACAAACACCAAAACUCGUGGAAUUCUGUCAGAUAAAACCCUAAGUCUAGAUGUUGAUUUCAUUUGGAUCCUUUUCUUUGUUUAUUUGAUAAUUAAAUUUGAUACUUAAGGACCGUCAACAAACUCCCCCAAGCUUACCUCUUGCUCGUCCCUAAGCAAGGAUAGAUUAGAAGUUGCUGCAAUACUUUAAAAAUUGACGGUACACAUGCUUUUUAAAUAAGAUCUCAUCUCUGAGUUAGAGUAAACUGUCAAGACUUAAAACUAAAUACUUUACCUUUUACCAUGGGACUUGUAACCGUCACUUCUAUCUUGAGUACUUAAAAGAUAGAACAGUCUAGUCAAGUGCCAUGUCUCUGAUUCUUGAUCAGCUAUAGCUCUAGAGUUUUUGCAGAUUUUCAAAUAAAACUCAGAGAUUCCUUGUAUGACUCUCUCAUAUCUCUCUUUUGUGGUAUUUCUAGAUCCUUACCAAGGCAGUGAUGGUAUAUGCCUUCUCUCAAUAUAUGUAGUAUUUGUGGUAUAAAGCAUAAUACAUUGCCUUCUCUCUCACUCUACUCUAAUAAGGCUUUAAUAUCUGGAGCUCAUAGGUGGGGGAUAAAAUUUAUAUACUUACAAGACAUUUAUUGCAUAGUCAAACCAUGGAUCCAAAGAAACAAAUCAAUAAGUCAAAUCAAGAUGUGCAUGUGUGGUGAAUGAAUGGUGUAUGGUGAUGAUGGUGAUAACAAUGGUGAAAGUCUAAUUCUACUUUUACUCUUUUGAGGGGAUACAUACCUUCCUUGCUUUCUAAAACUUUAUGAGGAGAAUGAGAUGCUCUUCUUUUUCUUUUCUCUCAGGUGGGUAUCUUGUACCCCUAAUUCUACUGUCGGACACUUGUCCAUUUUUACCUCUCGUCUCACUUUUUCUUUUUUUUCGAGGUUCCGGGCACUUGCCCCUUUUUAUUUCCUCAUUUUUUUUAGAGCACUCAUCUCUUGAGAUAAUAUAGCAAGUGGUAGUAACAAGAUAACUUGAGCAUUUAUUUCACAGGGAAAAACAGAAAUAUUUUUGGCUAUUCUCUCCCGGAUUAGGAGUAGAAUAUUUUUGGGUGAUUCUGGAGAUGGAAAUGAGUGGAUAUAUGUGGAUGGUACUAUCGGAAUAGAAGUAGCAUGUGUGAGCGAACGUGCAAGUGAAUCUUGAUUUAAGCCACAUGACAAGCUCCUAAGGGUCUACACAGCUUGACCACACUCAAUGCUCAUAAGCAGUAAAAAGUAAAUGUGUGGCUCAAAGUCUAGCAAGCAUGUAUAUAUGGCUGUGGUAGGAAUUUAAACUCUCAUCAUACAGGAACUCAUCAUCCAAUAUUUUAAAGAUUUUCAAAGAUAAAAUUCUCCAGAAUUCUAGCAUCUCUAGGAACAGAUAAACAACAGCUCAACCUUCCCAUAUCGUAUCCGUUAACAACUUAGACUUCAGCUUAAGUUUUCAUCCCACAAGUUUAGGUCUAGAGCAAGCUUUAAAUUAUAACAGUUAUGUCUAAACUUGAGAGAGAACUUAAAAUUUGUAAAUUAGGCAUAACAACUAUUCAUCAUUUCCAUGCUAGAGUUUUAUUAUUAAGAUUCAGAUUAGCAUAGCUACUUUAUUUAUUUAUUAAACACACUAAGCAAAAGACAUAUAUAUAUAAACAUAAAAUCUUUAUUUGGUUUUUCAUAGUAAUGUAUAUUUAUAUUUUAAUAUAGUAUAAGUAUAAAUAUAGAUAGAAAGAUAGAAAUACUUAUCGGGAUAAAUGGGGGUGCUCUCCCCCAAGCUGAAUUUUGACGUAAUUUCCGUUGAUGUAGCUAGCAUGUGGCAGAGGUGUAUUUGAAAGUCAGCAGCAUUCUGACAGCGAUUAGAAUGUCCUCCGUCUACUAGUCUUCUUGAUUCUUAAAUUUUGUGGAGCUCAAUAGACUACAAAGCUUGUCGAACUGAUUAAGUGUUAGCAUAAAUAUCUAGCCUUUAUCAUGUUGAGACUCCUUAAUAAUUAUUGCUCCCAAUUUUUAUAUUUUCAUUUUAUAAAGUAGAAAAAAAUAUUUAUUUUAUUUUUAUGCCACCACAGUGAAUGUACUUAUGGGUUUUAUGCCACUCGUAUACUCACAUGGGGCUUACUGUUUUUUGACAUUUUUAUUUUCUUUUUAGGAUAGUGUGAACAUAAUUAACUAAGUAAAUUAUUUGAAACAAAUUGAAAGGGAAAGGAUAACUACCAAGUUUACCUCUUGGCAAGGCGUUCGGUGUUUUUAAGUCCUCCGAACGGGACUCUCCUUUUCCUCAAUUGUCCUGGGAUUCGUUGGGUGGCGUAGUCGGUACUUCCGGCAGCGCCUCCUCUUCAUGUAUAGUUGUCUUCUCUUUCCACACCUGACUCGGUGCUUCGGUCUCGUCAGGAUAAUUCUGCUUGAACUCUACGUCUUCUGACCUUAUCACUUCUCCUUCAUAGUCAGCCCAUCCGUCCUUGAUGAUUUGCCUCCUCUGGUUGCGGUUGCGUCGCUUUUUGACCUGCUUAGAUUCUUCAACAAUGUAGUUAGGGUCAGUAAAAUAGCGGCGUACCUUCUCUGAGGGGAAGUGCAUAUAGACUUCUCCAGUUCCAAUGUAGAUAAUUGCUUUAACGGUGCUGAGGAACGGUCUUCCAAAGAUGAUGGGUGGAUCGUACUCAUAUUCUCCCAUGUCAAUAACCUGAAAGUCUGUGUAGACAAAAUGAUCGUCUAUUUUGACUGGGACAUUAGUUACUAUUCCUUUAACUUCUCAAAAUGUCUAAUCUGGCAUCUGGAGCUGAAUGUAUGUUGGUUUCAGGGGCAUGGUUCCGAACAAAGAGUCAAUAGGUGACUGCGGUCAUUAUGUUAACGCCCGAUCUGGUGUCACAAGUCGUCUUGUAGAAGUUAUAUCCAUUUAUGGAGCAAUAGAUGCUUGGCAUUCCUGGGUCGUCCUUCUUGGUCAGAAACGGUGACUUAAGUUGGUGAUCUUGGCCUCCAUGAACUGCAGUGACCAUCUUAGCUGACUCGGUCCACACUUGCUUGUUCCUGUUCCUCCUGUUGGUCCUCUUCCUUGAUUCACGUCUGGAUUGAUCUGGAAUUUGUGUAGUCUUGUUCUUGAAGAAAAAUGUUUCCUUCCUCCCUUUGAUGUAGAAACUGAUCUUGGCAGCACUAGCGUAGAUGAUAGCUCCCGUGGUGUUCAAGAAUGGCCUCCCUAAGAUGAUGGAUGCUCUCUCAUCGUUACCGGUCUCUACCACUACGAAGUCUGCUAGGGCGUACAAGGUACCAACUCGGACACAAAGGUUCUUCAAUAUUCCUUUUGGAAAACUUAUCGCCUGAUCUGCAAACUGCAAACACAUGGUUGUUUCUAAUAAAGGAUAUGUAAAGAAUUUUUCAUAGAGUACCCUGGGCAUAAUGUUGACGCUAGAGCCAAAGUCGCAGAGUGCUUCUGGGACGUCCACCAUGCCAAUGGAGAUCGGGAUGACGGGGCGUCCUGGAUCGCCUCUCUUGACCGGCAGAAGGUCAGUAGUGAAUUCAGUGACGGGGUUACUCCAAUUACCUGCAUCAAACAUGUCUACAAGAUUUGCAGAUUCUAAUCCUUCCAGUUGUGAUGGUAUACCGAGGUUAGUAGCAGGAACAGCAGCAACUAUUUGAUUUAACUGAGAUUCAAUCAUUUUAUUAAAGCUAAUUUGAUUCUUGAUGGCAGUAGAGAAAUUAUCCAUUCUAUUAUUUAUAUUUUCUAGCAUUUUAUCAUUAGAUGCCAAUUUCUUAGAUAGGUUAUUCAUUAGCUUUCGUUGAUUAGACACUAACUCUCUCAGAGGUGGAAAAUUAUUAGUAUUGUUGUAAGAAUUAUUACCUUGAUAAUUACCUGAGUAGUUAGGCCUCUGUUGAUUCCAACCUUGAUUUCGUUGAGGACGGUUGUAGUAGUAGUUGUUGUUAUUGUUGAUGUAGUUCACAUCCUCAAGCAUCUCAGGGCAGUGUUUGCCUGAGUGUCCAGUAUCUCCACACUCCUCACAAGUCAUGUGAGAGUUGUAGAUGUGCAUAACUUCUUUCUUAUCUCUAGCUCUAUCAUCGAGCUUCUUCAUGAGCAGGUCUAGCUUUGCAGACAACAUGUCUACCUCCUUGAGCUGAUGCAUACCUCUACCUUUCUUGCGUGUCUGGGUCCUUUCUUCAUUCCAGCCUUGGUUGGACGCCAUCUUUUCCACAAGAGCUGUGGCUUGUGGUAUGGUGAGUGAUAAGAAUGCUCCUCUAGCUGCAGCAUCCAUGGUCUCUCGGGCACUGUUGCCGAGCCCAUGAUAAAACGUCUGCAUUAGUAGCCAACUCUCCAUUAAACGUCUGCACUUCCCAAAACUUUGUCAAAUGCAAAAAUGGUCUAUAUAUUAAAUGUAGAUUUUGAUGAGUGGAACAAUAUUGGUAUUCAUGACGUUUCCAUUCGAAACCAUCUAGGGUUCUGAAACCGAAGCGUGGCUAUGAAUUCUUUCAAAAUUCAAAAUUGAGUGGUUCAAAUUUUUCCAAAUGAAAAGUUGACCAUUAGACAAAAUGUAGAACUUGAUGAGUGUAACAAACUUUGUAUUCAUGACUUUUCUAUUUAGGACCAUCUAGGGUUCGGUCAAAGGGUGUAUUAACCAAGAUAUACAUUUUUAUAUGAUAAAUAGAUUUUUUAUUUGAUGAAAACUGUACUCUACUAGCAUUCUCAUUCUGAGUAAUAAAUGAUAAAAAUAAAAAGUUUAACGUCAAUACGAUGUGAAAAUAGAUUUCCAGUUGAUUGGAUAUAGUUUUUAUAAAUUUAUUGGAAUAAUAUAUUUUUGCAUUAACAAAAUACUAAACAUUACUUACGAAAUUAUUGCAAAUUAAAAAAAUACAGUAAGAUAUAAUGUUAAAAAUUUUCAUGUGUACAUUAAAAAAAUUACAAUACAUGUCACACUUUAAAAAAUAUUAUGUAAAAUAUUUAAUUUAUUAUACAAUUUAUAAUGUAAAAUGUAUAUAUAAAGACUUUAAAAACUCUAAACUAAGAAACAGGGACUUUAGCACCGGCCCAUAGUGGGAACCGGUGCUAAAGGUUCCUGAAGAUUUUCAGGACCCCGCCCGAGCCCGCCUUGGACCCUUUAGCACCGGUCCGUGGCUGGAACCGGUGCUAAAGGGACCCUUUAACACCGGCUGGUGUUACGAGCCGGUGCUAAAGGGUCCCUCUUUAACACCAGCGCGUAACACCAGCCGGUGUUAAAGACCCUUUAGCACCGGUUCUAGCCACGGACCGGUGCUAAAAGGUCCGCCCCUAUUUAAGUCAUGGGCGUCCUGGAUUCUGAGCAGUUCAUCUUCGUCUUCGUCGAGUCAUCGUCUCCAGCGCCGCCGGCCGUUCAUCGGCCCGUGCGCGACCUCGCCGAUCUCCAGCGCCGCCAUCUACGCCUCUCCACAGCGCGGCCCCGCGUCCACACACCCACGUAUACUCCAAAACCGAUCGAUAUAUAUAUAUAUAUAUAUAUAAAUACUUCACUGCAGUUUAUAUAUGUGAAAUAAAUAAAUGUUAUGAAUUAUAUGCCAAGCACUUUGCAAUUUUAGUGAUUUGUAUAUAUAUAUAAAGUAUAUAUAUAUACACUAAAAAAUAAUAAUUAAUGAAUGCUAGCUAGUAUAUAUAUUAAGUAUAUAUAUACACUAAAAAAUAAUGCAUGAUGUUAGUAUAUUAUUCUAGUAAUAGUUUUUAGUAUAUUAGUAUAAGUGUAGUGUUUUGACCUGUCAUAAAUUAUAUUAUGCUAGUAUAUAUUUGUAGUAUAUUAAUAUUAUUCUUGUAUUAUUUUGUAGUAUUAUUUUUUUAGUAUAUUAUUUGUAGUAGUAUUUUUUAGUAUAUAUUUGUAGUAUAUUAUUCUUGUAUUAUUUUGUAGUAUUAUUUUUCUAGUAUAUUAUUCUUGUAUUAUUUUAGUAUUAUUUUUUUGAGCACUCCAGCACUUUCAUUUGUAGUAGUACUAGUAGUAUAUAAGUCUCUAAUAUAUAUUUUAAUUUAUUUUCUGGUGUUUUGUAUAUAUUGUUGUUUGUACUAUUAUUCUAGUAUUAUUUUUUUAGUAAAUUAUUCUAGUGUAUUACUUGCCUUAAAAGAUUCUAGUAUUAUUUUUUGGAGCACUCUAGCACUUUCAUUUGUAGUAGUACUAGUAGUAUAUAAGUCUCUAAUAUAUAUUUUAAUUUAUUUUCUGGUGUUUUGUAUAUAUUGUUGUUUGUACUAUUAUUCUAGUAUUAUUUUUUAGUAAAUUAUUCUAGCGUAUUACUUGGCUUAAAAGAUUAUAGUAUUAUUUUUUGGAGCACUCCAGCACUUUCAUUUGUAGUAGUACUAGUAGUAUAUAAGUCUCUAAUAUAUAUUUUAUUUUCUAGUGUUUUGUAUAUAUUAUUGUUUGUACUAUUAUUCUAGUAUUAUUUUUUAGUAUAUUAUUCUAGUGUAUUACUUGGCUUAAAAGAUUCUAGUAUUAUUUUUUGGAGCACUCCAGCACUUUCAUUCAUAUAUAUAUAUAUAUAGUUGCAGACAUAGAAAUGGCCGACCGUCCUCACUAUGAUCCUGAAUAUAUGGAAGAUGUCAUUCAAAAUAUGAUCGACGACGGUAGUCAGAACUUUAUUGAUUACAACGAGAUCAUGCAAGACAAUCCGACUAAGCAACAAGAGGGCAAUGCCCCUGAGCAACAAGAGGGUAAUGCGCCUGAGCAACAACUUGUCAUGCAACAAGAAGGAAAUACCGGCGAGGUAUGUAAAUGUAAACAUAUAUAAUACAUCUCUUACAUUAGGUUUUAGACUUACUUGGUUAUUAAUUUAGUAUUUUUGUUUCUAUAUCUACGUGUAGCCUUCUGGAUCGACCUCUAAAGGGAGAAGCGUACCUCCACGAGGGCUAAAGAAGCCAUUGGAGGGCCGCUAUGUAAUCUCUGAGUUUGAGAUAGCUACAGGUAGACCACUUGGUGAACAUGCAAAUAAAUAUGUUAGUCACUGUGGAUACCUUGUGAGAGAUCAAAUACCGAUCAGUGCUCGUGAAUGGAGAGAGAAGCGAGGUGCUCCUAAAAUCAAUUUUGUCUCUGAUCAUGUUAAGGAGUUAGUUUGGAAAGCCGUCACGGACAUUUUCACCUUCGACACCAACGAUGAAGAGUUGAAGGUACGAAUUUAUGACUGGAAGAAGUCUUUGUACAAUAAAUUUGUCAAUAAAAACGAGACUCCAAAUUUCAACCUCAAGCAAUAUGUAGAGCUGAGGGCCUUCUGGGAUGACUUCGUGCAGUACAAAACAUCAGAAGAGGGUGAGGAACGAGCCAUUAGAAACAAAGAGAAUGCAAGUAAAAAGACAUACCACCAUCAUAUGGGAUCAGGUGGUUAUAAGAGUGUUGUUCCCAAGUGGGACCGAAUGGAACAGGAGAUGCUUGCUAGGGGGUCACACCCGAGACAAUAGCAAAGAAUUGGAGCGAGCGCUCCAAGCAUUGGUUCUACGGUCAUGGGGAAAGCGUGGACCUAGACAUCGGGACGCUAGUUUGGGGCCAAGAAAUCUCUAGAGCAGCAGAGAGACUAGUCCAUGCACGAGAGGCGGUUCAGUCUGGUGAGUUCAGGCCUAACAGGGAGAAGGAUGAACUCACCUAUGCGCUUGAAAAUCCUGAGCACGGUGGGCGUCGAGAGGCUGUAGGACAAUUCCGUGGGUGCUGUUGACACUUGCUAACACCACUUGAAUACUAGGUUGUCAUCCCCAACAUGGCAGUAGAGUGUACUAUGGUAUUUAUACGCACACAGAUAAAUCCGCAAGCGCACGGACACCGUUGUAGCUUUUACCCGGUUAAACGGGACAACUAAUCUGCGCUCUAACUUAACCUAGAUAGAUAGGUAGGUGUAAAUAGGAAAGAUGGUAGAAUUGAAUAAGAACAAUAUUAAAGGUAAGAUAACAAUAGGUGAUAAUAUGGGAGUAGAGAGUAGAGCAAUCUAGUAUAUCGGCGAUGGUAGGAGAAUAGAGAGGAUAACUAUGGUUUCUCUACUUCAAAGGGGUAUGUCUAUGUCUGGGACAAACCACGUGAUAAGAAUACACCACAAAGGAUGCUUAUCCAUAGGCCGAUAAACCCUACCAGUCUUGCUAACGGGAGGUGGACUACAGGGGACCAACGUAACUGUCACCUACGCGGCCUACCACACGAUUCAGCUAGACAGGGGAUAUCCACAAGUAAUCUAGGUCUAAGCACCUCGCUUACACCUAUACUACAACUCUCACCUAUAGCGUCCUAUAGAUUAAAGUACUCAAAAGAGUUGUGAACCAGAACAUACAUGGAUAGUAAUUGCAUAAUGAAUUAGAAGUAGAUUACCAAAGUCAUCCCAUGAGCAAGCUUGAUUAGAGCUUGAUCAUGGCGAAGUACAACCGGAGGAAGAACCGACAUGUCGGCCUCUCCUCCAAUCCUCCCUCGCUCUCCAUCUCGCUACUAUCUAGAUCUACUCUAGUUUAGAGAUGAGAGGAGAGCUCUCAUCUCCAAACCCUAGCUUUUGCUCUGUCUAUGUAGAGGAAAGGUUAUCCUUCGAGGGCACCUCUCAACUCUACAAUGAACUUGUUCUCCUCCAGGGGCUAGGGGGUCUGCUUAUAUAGUCCCCUCAAGUGAAUCUGGGCCGUCGGAUCAAACCGACAUUAAUCGUAUGGUUUUCCUUAAUCCUUUAGGUCGGUGGAGCAUAAUCCGCGAGACGGGUCCUGUUUGGACUCUGUAGCUAGGCGGGCGCCCAAGGGGGUGUUGACGGUCCUUAAGUAUCAAAUUUAAUUAUCAAAUAAAUAAAGAAAAGGAUCCAAAUGAAAUCAACAUCUAGACUUGGGGUUUUAUCUGACAGAAUUCCACGAGUUUUGGUGUUUGUCUAUUUCUGCAGGGGGUUAUCAGGAAAUGCGGAAGAAAGGCCCACACGUCGGGAUUACAUAGAGAUAUUAACGUGCCGCGCAAUUAUCUUACAUCUAGAAGACUCCAGAAGCCACGAGACCGAAGCAGAGGCGAAACGGGGCCAGAGGCAGGGCGCCCGCCCUCCUGCCCUAGGCGCCCGCCCCCUCUGAGAGUCCAAUCAGGACUCUGCUUCGUGGGAGAACUCCACCGACCUAAAGGAUCAAGGAUAACCGUUCAAUCUAAGUCGGUUUGAUCCAACGGCCCAUAUUCACUUGAAGGGACUAUAAAACCAGACCCCCUGGCCCCUGGAGGAGAGAGCCUCUCAACCCUAAUUCAUUAUUCUUCAAGGGAGAAGAAGCCUCUGAUCAAGAUUAGAGCCACCACAUCAAUUAGAUAUCUAGAUUAGCAUAGCUACAUAGGAUUAGAGCUAGGAGUCAAUCUUCGAUUGGUUUCCGGAUCUGUCAAGAGGAUUCUUGGUAAUUCUCUAAUUGCGCUUCUAAUUGCUUUCUAAUCAUCUUUGUUCUUCAAUAUUAUGAAUAUGACUUUGUUCUACUUCAAUAUAUUGUUCUUAGUUUCUCAUAGUUAUGUACUUGGCUUAGUUAGAUUGGAUCUAUAUACAUGCUUAGGAUCGUAUAGCGUUUAUCCAUCAGAUCCAUGGGUAAAUGAUAGAUAUUGUGUAGGCAUGGUGCUUAUACCGUAUUUAUCUGCGAUUGUACCCAAUAUGCCAGAUCGUGGGAUAGUUCGUGAUAGUGACAGCUUCAUUGAUUCUUAUAUAGUCCCACUCUCGUGUAUUGGGCUGGCAGAGCAAUAUUAUUACAGGGGAGUGAUUGCUAUGUUUCUCAUUUACCUUGCUAAUAUCACUAUGCAUGGGUGUAGUCUUGUCUCGCAAUGAUUGCUAAGUAUGCUUGCACUAAUUAUGAUAAUGCUAGACUAUAUAGUUGAGAAUAACUUAGGAAAUAUUCUUCUAGUUCGUUCUAAUACCAUGCUAAUGACUUUCUAGAGUGUCUAAUUGAGGUGCUUAUCAUAUUUAUUAUGUGGCUAGAUCAGAUUAAUUAUCCUUCUCACUAUUCAUUAUUUCAUAUAUCCUUUAUGUGACACUUAUCCCUGUAUGAAAGAGUUAGAUAAAUGUUCUCAAUUAUACAUGCAAUGAUAGAUACUCAAUCUCAUAUUCUAUUCUAUAAUCAAUAUUAAUGAUUGCUAAUCCCUUCCCAGUGGUAAAAAUAUAAAUAACGAUACCUGGAAUACUUCCCGGUUAAAAUGCUAUAUCGGUAUUAAUCUGUGCGCUUGCAGAUCCCAUUCAUUAUUUAUUUAGAAGAGCAAUUGCAUACUUCAAUACCGCGUCUCUCAUGUCAUGCUGGGGAUGACAACUUGGCUUAAGUGGUGUGAGGGAUAGGUUUGGCAUUUUUGGCACCGUUACUAGAUUUAAAGAACUUAGUCUACUUUUGGUAAUGAUGUUAAGAAUACCCAACAAGCAUUUUUGGCGCCGUUGUCGGGGAAGGUUGAUUACUAAUCAAGAAUGGAAUAAAGGAUUUUGAGUUAUCAUUCGCAUCACUAAUAUGAUUGAGCUUAUCUAUUCUCUCAUACAGUUUUACCCCGAUAUUUUUCUGUUUUAUCUUAUGCAGGGGAAUGUAUGAAUAGAAGACAUCUUCCAAGAAAUUUUGUUGACAAUCCCGAAGCAUUAUUCAAGAAGACGAGAGCCAAGCUCAAGAAGAGAUCAUCAACACUUCAGCAAGAAGCUUCAUCCAAUCAAGAAGAUCACCGGAACUUGUCUUCAGAGUUCGAGGCCAUGGCGAACAAAUCGAUCCGUGAAUUCUCAGCUCCCACUACGGACAACAUCCGCAUUGGACCUACUGCAGAGAUCGAUGGCAACUUUAAGCUCAAGCCUGGACUUAUCAAGAUGGUGCAAUCCAACUAGUUCUGUGGGAAGGCACACGAAGAUGCUAGUGCUCAUCUACAACACUUCCUGGAGAUUUGCAACAUAUUCACCAUAUCAGGAGUUUCCAAAGAUGCUAUACUACUUCGCCUCUUCCCAUUCUCACUGUUAGGGAGAGCGAAGCAGUGGUUCUACGCUACAAAGGAGAAGAAUACUACGUGGGCACUCUGCUCAACAAACUUCCUGGCCAAGUUCUUUCCCAUGGGCAAGACCAAUGCUCUCCGUGGGAAGAUUACAAGUUUUCAGCAACAAAAUGAUGAAUCUGUUCCAGAAGCAUGGGAGCGCUUCCAAAACUACAUCCUAGAAUGUCCCCAUCAUGGAAUGGAAAGUUGGCUACUGAUGCAGACAUUUUAUCAUGGUCUCAGCAACAGUGCCCGAGAGAUCAUGGAUGCUGCAGCUGGAGGAGCAUUCUUAUCACUUACUAUAUCACAAGCCACAGCUCUUGUGGAGAAGAUGGCGUCCAACCAAAGCUGGAAUGAAGAGAGGACCCAGACACGCAAGAGAGGUGGAGGUAUGCAUCAACUCAAGGAGGUAGACAUGCUGUCUGCAAAGCUAGACCUGCUCAUGAAGAAGCUCGACGAUAGAGCUGGAGAUAAGAAAGAAGUUAUGCACAUCUAUGACUCUCACAUGACUUGUGAGGAGUGUGGAGAUACUGGACACUCAGGCAAUCACUGCCCUGAGAUGCUUGAGGAUGUGAACUACAUCAACUACUACUACUACUACUACUACAACCGUCCUCAACAAAAUCAAGGUUGGAAUCAACAGAGGCCUAACUACUCAGGUAAUUAUCAAGGUAAUAAUUCUUACAACAAUAAUAAUAAUUUUCCACCUCUGAGAGAGUUAGUGUCUAAUCAAGGAAAGCUAAUGGAUAAUCUAUCUAAGAAAUUGGCAUCUAAUGAUAAAAUGCUAGAAAAUAUAAAUAAUAGAAUGGAUAAUUUCUCUACUGCCGUCAAGAAUCAAAUUAGCUUUAAUAAAAUGACUGAAUCUCAGUUAAAUCAAAUAGCUGCUGUUGUUCCUGCUACUAACCCCGGUAUACCAUCACAACCGGAAGGAUUAGAAUUUGCAAAUCUUGUAGACAUGUUUGAUGCAAGUAAUUGGAGUAACCCCGUCACUGAAUUCUCUACUGACCUUCUGCCGGUCAAGAGAGGCGAUCCAGGACGCCCCGUCAUCCCGAUCUCCAUCGGCAUGGUGGACGUCCUAGAAGCACUUUGCGACUUUGGCUCUAGUGUCAAUAUUAUACCCAGGGUACUCUAUGAAAAAUUCUUUACAUAUCCUUUAUUAGAGACAACCAUGUGUUUGCAAUUUGCAGAUCAGACGAUAACUUUUCCAAAGGGAAUAUUGAAGAACCUUUGCGUCCGAGUUGGUACCUUGUAUGCCCCAGCAGACUUCGUAGUGGUAGAGACCGGUAACGAUGAGAGAGCACCCAUCAUCUUAGGGAGGCCAUUCUUGAACACCACGGGAGCUAUCAUCUACGCUAGUGCUGCCAAGAUCAGUUUCUACAUCAAAGGGAGGAAGGAAACAUUUUUCUUCAAGAACAAGACUACACAAAUUCUAGAUCAAUCCAGACGUGAAUCAAGGAAGAGGACCAACAGGAGGAACAGGAACAAGCAAGUGUGGACCGAGUCAGCUAAGAUGGUCACUGUAGUUCUUGAAGGCCAAGAUCACCAACUUAAGUCACCGUUUUUGACCAAGAAGGACGACCCAGGAAUGCCAAGCAUCUAUUGCUCCAUAAAUGGAUACAGCUUCUACAAGACAUUUUGCGACACCGGAUCGGGCGUCAACAUAAUGGCCGCAGUCACCUAUUGGCUCUUGUUCGGAACCAUGCCCCUGAAACCAACAUACAUUUAGCUCCAGACGGCAGAUCAGACGUUUCGAGAAGUUAAAGGAAUAGUAACUGAUGUCCUAGUCAAAAUAGACGAUCAUUUUGUCUACACAGACUUUCAGGUUAUUGAUAUGGGAGAAGACGAGUAUGAUCCACCCGUCAUCCUUGGAAGACCGUUCCUCAGCACCGUUAAAGCAAUUAUCUACAUUGGAACCGGAGAAGUCCAUAUGCACUUCCCCUCAGAGAAGGUACGCUGCUAUUUUACUGACCCUAACUAUAUCUUUGAAGAAUCUAAGCAGGUAAGAAAGUGACGCAACCGCAACCAGAGGAGGCAGAUCAUCAGGGACGGAUGGGCAGACUACGAAGGAGAAGUGAUAAGGUCAGAAGACGUAGAGUUUAAACAGAAUUAUUCAGAGGAGACCGUAGCACCGAGUCAGGUAUGGAAAGAGAAGAUAACUAUUCCGACUCCGCCACCCAACGAAUCCUAGGACAAUUGAGAAAGAGGAGAGUCCUGUUCGGAGGACUUAAAAACACCGAACGCCUUGCCAAGAGGUAAACUUUGUAGUUAUCCUUUCCCUUUCAAUUAUGUCAACUAGUUUACUUAGUUAAUUAUGUUCAUACUAUCUUAAAAAUAAAAUAAAAAUAUAAAAAACAGUAAGCCCCAUGUGAGUAUACGAGUGGCAUAAAACCCAUAAGUACAUUCACUGUGGUGGCAUAAAAAUAAAAUAAAAAUUUCUUUUCUGCUUUAUAAAAUGAAAAUAUAAAAACAAGGAGUAAUAUUUAUUGAGGAGUCUCAACAUGAUAAAGGCUAGAUAUUUAUGCUAACACUUAAUCAGUUCCACAAGCUUUGUUGUCUAUUUGAGCUCCACAGGAUUUAAGAAUCAAGAAGACUAGCAGACGGAGGACAUUCUAAUCGCUGUCAGAAUGCUGCUGACUUUCAAAUACACCUCUGCCACCUGCUAGCUACAUCAAGAGAAAUUACGUCAAAAUUCAGCUUGGGGGAGAACACCCCCAUUUAUCCCGCUAAGUAUUUCUAUCUAUCUUUAUACUUACAUUAUAUUAAAAUAUAGAUAUACAUAACUAUGAAAAACCAAACAAAGAUUUUAUGCUUAUAUAUUUGCCUUUUGCUUAGUGUGUUUAAUAAAUAAAUAAAGUGGCUAUGCUAAUCUGUAUCUUAAUAAUAAAACUUAAGCAUGGAUAUGAUGAAUAGUUUCUCUGCCUAAUUUGCACAUUUGAAGUUCUCUCUCAAGUUUAGACAUAACUGUUAUAAUUUAAGGCUUGCUCUAGACCUAAACUUGUGGGAUGAAAACUUGAUCUGAAGUCUAAGUUGUUAACGGAUACGAUAUGGGAAGGUUGAGCUGCUGUUUAUCUGUUCCUAGAGAUGCUAGAAUUCUGGAGAAUUUUAUCUUUGAAAAUCUUUAAAAUAUUGCAUGAUGAGUUCCUGUAUGAUGAGAGUUUAAAUUCCUACCACAGCCAUAUAUACAUGCUUGCUAGAUUUUGAGCCACACAUUUAUUAUUUACUGCUUAUGAGCAUUGAGUGUGGUCAAGCUGUGUAGACCCUUAGGAGCUUGUCAUGUGGUUAAAUCAAGAUUCACUUGCACGUUCACUCAUAUAUGCUACUUCUACUCCGGAAGUACCAUCCACAUAUAUCCACCCAUUUCCAUCUCCAGAAUCACCCAAAAAUAUUCUACUCCUAAUCCGGGAGAGAAUGACCAAAAACAUUUCUGUUUUCCCUUAUGAAAUAAAUGCUCAAGUUAUCUUGUUACUACCACUUGCUAUAUUAUCUCAAGAGAUGAGUGCUCUAAAAAAAGAGAUACGAGGAAAUAAAAAAAGGGGCAAGUGCCCGGAACCUCGAAGAAAAGAAAAAGUGAGACGAGAGGUAAAAAUGGACAAGUGUCCGACAGUAGAAUUAGGGGUACAAGAUACCCACCUGAGAGAAAAGAAAAAAAAGAAGAGCAUCUCAUUCUCCUCAUAAAGUUUCAAAAAGCAAGAAAGGUAUAUAUCCCCUCAAAAGAGCAAAAGUAGAAUUAGACUUCCACCAUUAUUAUCACCACUACCACCAUACACCAUUCAUUCGCCACACAUGCACAUCUUGAUUUGACUUAUUGAUUUGUUUCUUUGGAUCCAUAGUUUGACUAUGCAAUAAAUGUCUUGUAAGUAUAUAUAUUUUAUUUCCCACCUAUGAGCUCCAGAUAUAAAAGCCUUAUUAGAGUAGGGUGAGAGAGAAGGCAAUGUCACUAUGCCUUAUACCACAAAUACUACAUAUCUUGAGAGAAGGCAUAUACCAUCACUGCCUUGGUAAGGAUCCAGAAAUACCACAAAAGAGAGAUCUGAGAGAGUCAUACAAGGAAUCUCUGAGUUUUAUUUGAAAAUCUAGAAAAACCCCAGAGCUAUAGCUGAUCAAGAAUAAGAGACAUGGCACUUGACUAGACUGUUCUAUCUUUUAACUACUCAAGAUAGAAGUGACGGUUACAAGUCCCAUGGUGAAGGUAAAGUAAUUAAGUUUUAAGUCUUGACAGUUUACUCUAACUCAGAGAUGAGAUCUUAUUUAAAAAAAGCAUGUGUACCGUCAAUUUUUAAAGAUAUUGCAACAACUUAUGAUCCAUAGCUGAGUCUAUCCUUGCUCAGGGACGAGCAAGAGGUAAGCUUGGGGGAGUUUGUUGACGGUCCUUAAGUAUCAAAUUUAAUUAUCAAAUAAAUAUAGAAAAGGAUCCAAAUGAAAUCAACAUCUAGACUUAGGGUUUUAUCUGACAGAAUUCCACGAGUUUUGGUGUUUGUCUAUUUCUACAGGGGGUUAUCAGGAAAUACGGAAGAAAGGCCCACACGUCGGGAUUACAUAGAGAUAUUAACGUGCCGCGCAAUUAUCUUACAUCUAGAAGACUCCAGAAGCCACGAGACCGAAGCGGAGGCAAAACGGGGCCAGAGGCAGGGCGCCCGCCCUCCUGCCCUGGGCACCCGCCCCCUCUGAGAGUCCAAUCAGGACUCUGCUUCGUGGGAGAUCUCCAUCGACCUAAAGGAUCAAGGAUAACCGUUCAAUCUAAGUCGGUUUGAUCCAACGGCCCAUAUUCACUUGAAGGGACUAUAAAACCAGACCCCCUGGCCCCUGGAGGAGAGAGCCUCUCAACCCUAAUUCAUUAUUCUUCAAGGGAGAAGAAGCCUUUGAUUAAGAUUAGAGCCACCACAUCAAUUAGAUAUCUAGAUUAGCAUAGCUACAUAGGAUUAGAGCUAGAAGGAGUCAAUCUUCGAUUGGUUUCCGGAUCUGUCAAGAGGAUUCUUGGUAAUUCUCUAAUUGCGCUUCUAAUUGCUUUCUAAUCAUCUUUGUUCUUCAAUAUUAUGAAUAUGACUUUGUUCUACUUCAAUAUAUUGCUUAUGACUUUGCUCUACUUGCUUAUAUUCAAGAUUAUAUUGUUCUUAGUUUAUCAUAGUUAUGUACUUGGCUUAGUUAGAUUGGAUCUAUAUACAUGCUUAGGAUCAUAUAGCGUUUAUCCAUCAGAUCCAUGGGUAAAUGAUAGAUAUUGUGUAGGCGUGGUGCUUAUACCGUAUUUAUCUGCGAUUGUACCCAAUAUGCCAGAUCGUGGGGUAGUUCGUGAUAGUGACAGCUUCAUUGAUUCUUAUAUAGUCCCCCUCUCGUGUAUUGGGAUGGCAGAGCAAUAUUAUUACAGGGGAGUGAUUGCUAUGUUUCUCAUUUACCUUGCUAAUAUCACUAUGCAUGGGUGUAGUCUUGUCUCGCAAUGAUUGCUAAGUAUGCUUGCACUAAUGAUGAUAAUGCUAGACUAUAUAGUUGAGAAUAACUUAGGAAAUAUUCUUGUAGUUCGUUCUAAUACCAUGCUAAUGACUUUCUAGAGUGUCUAAUUGAGGUGCUUAUCAUAUUUAUUAUGUGGCUAGAUCAGAUUAAUUAUCCUUCUCACUAUUCAUUAUUUCAUAUAUCCUUUAUGUGACACUUAUCCCUGUAUGAAAGAGUUAGAUAAAUGUUCUCAAUUAUACAUGCAAUGAUAGAUACUCAAUCUCAUAUUCUAUUCUAUAAUCAAUAUUGAUGAUUGCUAAUCCCUUCCCAGUGGUAAAAAUAUAAAUAACGACACCUGGAAUACUUCCCUGUUAAAAUGCUACAUCGGUAUUAAUCUGUGCGCUUGCAGAUCCCAUUCAUUAUUUAUUUAGAAGAGCAAUAGCAUAUUUCAAUACCGCGUCUCUCAUGUCAUGCUGGGGAUGACAACUUGUCUUAAGUGGUGUGAGGGAUAGGUUUGGCAUUUUUGGCACCGUUACUAGAUUUAGAGAACUUAGUCUACUUUUGGUAAUGAUGUUAAGAAUACCCAACAGGGGGGAGGGCGGGCGCCUUGCCCCCGAGCCCGCUCGGCCUCCCGUUCAUUCUCGUGGCUUCAGGAGUCUUCUAGAUGAUAGAAAAUUGCGCGGCACGUUAAUAUCUCUAUGUAAACCCGACAUGUGGGCCUUUCCUCCAUAUUUCCUGAUAACCCCCUGCAGAAAUAGACAAACACCAAAACUCGUGGAAUUCUGUCAGAUAAAACCCUAAGUAUGGGUGUUGGUUGCAUUUGGAUCCUUUUAUUUAUUUAUUUGAUAAUUAAAUUUGGUACUUAAGGAUCGUAAACAACUCCCCCAAGCUUACCUCUUGCUCGUCCCUGAGCAAGGAUGGACUCAAGAGUUUUUGUAGUGGUUUCAUGCCUUAAAGGUACACAUGCGUUCAAACAAGAUCUCAUCUCUGGGUUAGGGUAAACUGUUAAGAUUUAAACUUACUCAUAUUACCUUCCACCAUGGGGCUUGCAACCGUCACUUAUGUCUUGAGCAGUUAAAAGAUAGAAUGGUCAAGUCAAGCACCAUGUCUCUUGUUCUUUGAUCAACUAUAGCUCUAGAGUUUUUGCAGAUUUUCAAAAUAAAACUCAGAGAUUCCUUGUAUGACUCUCUCUAGUCUCUCUUUUGUGGUAUUUCUGGAUCCUCACCAAGGCAGUGAUGAUAUAUGCCUUCUCUCAAAGUAUGUAGUAUUUGUGGUAUGAGGCAUAGUGAUAUUGCCUUCUCUCUCACCCUACUCUAAUAAGGUUUUGAUAUCUAGAGCUCAUAGGUGGGAGACAGCUAAUACAUACUUACAAGACAUUUAUUGCAUAGUCAAACCAUGGAUCCAGAGAAACAAGUCAAUAAGUCAAAUCAAGAUGUGCAUGUGUGGCGAAUGAAUGGUGUAUGGUGAUGAUGGUGAUAAUGGUGAAAACAAUGGUGAAAGUCUAAUUCUACGUUUGCUCUUUUGAGGGGAUACAUACCUUUCUUGCACUUUGAAGCUUUUUGAGGGAAAUGAGAUGCUCUAUAUUUUCUAUUUCUUUUCUCUCAGGUGGGUAUCUUGUACCCCUAAUUCUACUGUCGGAGACUUGUCCAUUUUUACCUCUCAUCUCACUUUUUUGUUCUUUUUUUUCUUUUUUUUUGAGGUUCCGGGCACUUGCCCCUUUUUAUUUCCUCGUAUUCACUUUUUUUUCAGAGCACUCACCCUCCUAGAAUAAUGUAGCAAGUGGUAGUAACCAAAAUAUCUCGCGCAUUUAUUUCACAGGGAAAAACAGAAUUGGAAUAAUGUUUUUGGCUAUUCUCUUCCGGAUAGGAGUAGAAUAAUUUUGGGUGAAUCUGGAGAUGGAAAUGAGUGGAUGUAUGUGGAUGCGUACUUCCGGAGUAGAAGCAGCAUGUAUGAGUGAACGUGCAAGUGAAUCUUGAUUUUAACCGCAUGACAAGCUCCUAAGGGUCUACACAGCUUGACCACACUCAAUGCUCAUAAGUAGUAAAGUAAAUGUGUGGUUCAUUGUCUAAUAAGCAUGUAUAUAUGGCUGUGGUAGGAUUUUAAACUCUUCAUCAUACAGGAACUCAUCAUGCAAAAUUUUAAAGAUUUUAAAGAUAAAAUUCUCCAGAAUUCUAGCAUCUCUAUUAAUAGAUAAAUAGCAACUCAACCUUCCCAUAUCAUAUCCGUUAACGACUUAGACUUUAGAUCAAGUAAUCUUCCUACAAGUUCAGGUUUAGAGCAAAUCUUAAUACAUAACAGUCAUGCCUAAACUUGAGAGAGAAUUCAAUGAACCAGUCAUGGCAGAGAAACUAUUUAUUAUUUCCAUGUGAGAGCUUAUCAUGAGGGUUCAUAGCAAACUUUAUUUAUUUAUUUAUUUAGCAAACUAAGCAAAGAUAUAUAUAUAUAUAAGCACAAAAUCUUUAUUUGGGUUUUUAUCAUUAUGCAUCUUUUUAUUAUUUGAGUAAAGUAUAAACGCGAGUAGAAACACUUAGCUGGAUAAUGGGGGUGCUCUCCCCCAAGCUAGAUUUUGACGUAAUUUCUUCUGAUGUAGCUAGCAGGUGGCGGAGGUGUAUUUGAAUGUCGGCAGUACCCUCACAGCGAUUAGGAUGUCCUCCGUCUCCUAGUCUUCUUUGAUCCUUGAAUUCUGUGGAGCUCAAAUAGACAACAAAGCUUUGUGGAACUGGUUAAGUGUUAGCAUAAAAUCUCUUUGCCUUUAUCAUGUUGAGCUUCCUCUAAUAAAUAUUACUCUCUUUGGUAGGAUCAUAAAUUUAUUUUUAUAUUUUCAUUUUUAUAGGACAGGAAUAUAUUUAUUUUAUUUUUACGCCACCACAGUGAAUGUACUUAUGGGUUUUAUGCCACGAGCAUACUCACAUGGGGCUUACUGUUUUUAACAUUUUUAUUUUCUUUUCAAGAUAGCAUGAUUAACUAACAAGCCAUUUAAGGAAAUUAAAUAAUUAAAGGGAAAAGAGAAUGUAGAAAGGAUAAAUAUGAAUAAUUACCGAUUUUACCUUUCGACGAGGGUUCAAUGUUUUAAGUCUUCUAAACAAGACUUCUCACCGUGUUCAUUCUUUAGGUGCGUCAUUUGAUUCAGGUGCGGACCUUGACGUCUGCACCUCUUGAUACGGUGUCACCCAUAUUCUUCGUUUGCCCAGCAGUUCAAAGUGCGGCGUUGGCAGUAUCUUGCUCAGUGUGUUUGUGCUCGUAGAUCCAGGUCCUUCACUUGGUGGAGUCUGGGAGUUGUAAAACUCCUCCAUAUUUUGCUCAAAGUGUACCUGCUCAUAGAGACAAGGCAGAGAUCAAGUGCAUGGGCCCUGUUGGUGGAAAACACCAAUAGAACCAAAAGUAUAUUUAUUCUUCUCUAUCCUUAAGCAUAGGGAGCAAGACAAAGUUGAUGGGUGAUAAGUUCAUGAGUGUAGCAUUUAAAACAAUUGUCAGAUCAGAUCGCUCAACCUAAUGGAAAGAUAAUCUAUCUAUAUUUAUGUUUUUUAUAUAUCUUCCAAAGAUUGAGUGUGCAACAUUUUAGCUCAUAUGAUUAGGAGUGUAGGAUCAUAAAGGUGGAAGGACUAAACAUGUUGAAUCGAUUGGGUUGGUUAACCUAGAGUUGUAAAUCAUACAUGUUUGUCUCUUUUAUUCAUAUGAACGCCAGAACCAAGGAGAAGCUUAUAAAAGUGAGAGUCAAGUACCUUGAGAUGUUACCUUACUUGAAGAGUGAUGGUAUAGUAUCACCUUGU